GAUGAACGCUGGCGGCGUGCCUAAUACAUGCAAGUCGAGCGAACAGACGAGGAGCUUGUUCCUCUGACGUUAGCGGCGGACGGGUGAGUAACACGUGGAUAACCUACCUAUAAGACUGGGAUAACUUCGGGAAACCGGAGCUAAUACCGGAUAAUAUAUUGAACCGCAUGGUUCAAUAGUGAAAGACGGUUUUGCUGUCACUUAUAGAUGGAUCCGCGCCGCAUUAGCUAGUUGGUAAGGUAACAGCUUACCAAGGCAACGAUGCGUAGCCGACCUGAGAGGGUGAUCGGCCACACUGGAACUGAGACACGGUCCAGACUCCUACGGGAGGCAGCAGUAGGGAAUCUUCCGCAAUGGGCGAAAGCCUGACGGAGCAACGCCGCGUGAGUGAUGAAGGUCUUCGGAUCGUAAAACUCUGUUAUUAGGGAAGAACAAAUGUGUAAGUAACUAUGCACGUCUUGACGGUACCUAAUCAGAAAGCCACGGCUAACUACGUG
rnacentral:rRNA from 1 species